rnacentral:rRNA from 1 species
UACGUAGGGUGCAAGCAUUAAUCGGAUUUAUUGGGCGUAAAGGGCGCGUAGGCGGGAAUAUAAGUCAGAUGUGAAAUCCCGAGGCUCAACCUCGGAACUGCAUUUGAAACUAUAUUUCUAGAGGGUAGACGGAGAAAAUGGAAUUCCACAAGUAGCGGUGAAAUGCGUAGAUAUGUGGAAGAACACCAGUGGCGAAGGCGGUUUUCUAGUUUAUACCUGACGCUAAAGCGCGAAAGCAAGGGGAUCAAACAGG